GCGGCGUGGUGUAUUGUUAACACAUCAGUCCGGUCUACUGAAGAUGCUGGUUCGCUCCCAGCCGCCGAACA
rnacentral:tRNA from 1 species